UUUCCGUAGGUGAACCUGCGGAAGGAUCAUUAUUGAAUGAACUUGGUGUGGUUGUAGCUGGCCCUCUCGUCGGGGGCAUGUGCACACCCGCCAUCUUUAUCUCUCCACCUGUGCACAUCUUGUAGACCUGGAUAGACUUUCCGAGGCAACUCGGUCGGGAGGACUGCUGUGCGUCACUGCCGGCUUUCCUUGCAUAUCUAGGCCUAUGUUUUCAUAUACCCCUUAGUAUGUAACAGAAUGUAUCAUUGGGCCUCGUGCCUAUAAACUAUAUACAACUUUCAGCAACGGAUCUCUUGGCUCUC
rnacentral:misc_RNA from 1 species